GGUCUGUCUCAAAGAUUAAGCCGAUGCAUGUCUAAGUAUAAGCAAUUAUACCGUGAAACUGCGAAUGGCUCAUUAAAUCAGUUAUCGUUUAUUUGAUAGUACCUUACUACUUGGAUAACCCGUGGUAAUUCUAGAGCUAAUACAUGCUGAAAACCCCGACUUCGGGAGGGGUGUAUUUAUUAGAUAAAAAACCAACGCCCUUCGGGGCUUCUUGGUGAUUCAUGAUAACUUCACGGAUCGCAUGGCCUUGCGCCGGCGACGGUUCAUUCAAAUUUCUGCCCUAUCAACUUUCGAUGGUAAGGUAUUGGCUUACCAUGGUUUCAACGGGUAACGGGGAAUUAGGGUUCGAUUCCGGAGAGGGAGCCUGAGAAACGGCUACCACAUCCAAGGAAGGCAGCAGGCGCGCAAAUUACCCAAUCCCGACACGGGGAGGUAGUGACAAUAAAUACUGAUACAGGGCUCUUUUGGGUCUUGUAAUUGGAAUGAGUACAAUUUAAACCUCUUAACGAGGAACAAUUGGAGGGCAAGUCUGGUGCCAGCAGCCGCGGUAAUUCCAGCUCCAAUAGCGUAUAUUAAAGUUGUUGCAGUUAAAAAGCUCGUAGUUGAAACUUGGGCCUGGCUGGCAGGUCCGCCUCACCGCGUGUACUUGUCCGGCCGGGCCUUUCCUUCUGGAGAACCUCAUGCCCUUCACUGGGUGUGUUGGGGAACCAGGACUUUUACUUUGAAAAAAUUAGAGUGUUCAAAGCAGGCCUUUGCUCGAAUACGUUAGCAUGGAAUAAUAGAAUAGGACGUGCGGUCCUAUUUUGUUGGUUUCUAGGACCGCCGUAAUGAUUAAUAGGGACAGUCGGGGGCAUCAGUAUUCAAUUGUCAGAGGUGAAAUUCUUGGAUUUAUUGAAGACUAACUACUGCGAAAGCAUUUGCCAAGGAUGUUUUCAUUAAUCAGUGAACGAAAGUUAGGGGAUCGAAGACGAUCAGAUACCGUCGUAGUCUUAACCGUAAACUAUGCCGACUAGGGAUCGGGCGAUGUUCUUUUUCUGACUCGCUCGGCACCUUACGAGAAAUCAAAGUUUUUGGGUUCUGGGGGGRAGUAAUUGCGACCCG
rnacentral:rRNA from 1 species